GAUAACGUAGUAUUCUAGAGCUAUACAUGCCAUUAUGCCCUGACCCGCAAGGGAACGGGUGGAUUUAUUAGAACAGAACCAACCGGGGGCGGCUUCGGUCGUCCCUGUUGCAUUCUGUGAUGACUCUGGAUAACUUCACUGAUCGCAGUCGGCCUUGUGUCGGCGACGGAUCUUUCAAAUGUCUGCCCUAUCAAUUUUCGAUGGUAGGUGACCUGCCUACCAUGGUGCUAACGGGUAACGGGGAAUCAGGGUUCGAUUCCGGAGAGGGAGCCUGAGAAACGGCUACCACUUCCAAGGAAGGCAGCAGGCACGCAAAUUACCCAAUCCCGGAACGGGGAGGUAGUGACGAAAAAUACGGAUACGGGACUCACAUGAGGCUCCGUAAUUCGAAUGAGUACAAUUUAAAUCCUUUAACGAGGAUCAACUGGAGGGCAAGUCUGGUGCCAGCAGCCGCGGUAACUCCAGCUCCAGAAGCGUAUAUUAAAGUUGUUGCAGUUAAAAAGCUCGUAGUUGGAUCUGGGUUGCAUGGCUACAUGCCGUCGCUCGUGUGUUCGUUGCGGUUACUGCCGUGGCGGUCAUAUGAGUCGGUCUCGUGGUUGUGCUUCCUUUCUGCUGUGUCUGUUUACAGGUGUCAGCGUGGCUGGUGGGCUCGCCUGCCGGUCUGUUGGCAUGCUUCUUGAUGCUCUUAACCGGGUGUCGGAGGCGGACAGCACGUUUACUUUGAACAAAUCUGAGUGCUCAAAGCAGGCCUUUGUGCCUGAAAGUUCUUGCAUGGAAUAAUGGAAUAGGACUUCGGUUCUAUUUUGUUGGUUUUCGGAUCCGAAGUAAUGGUUAAGAGGGACAGACGGGGGCAUUUGUAUGGCGGUGUUAGAGGUGAAAUUCUUGGAUCGCCGCCAGACAAACUACAGCGAAAGCAUUUGCCAAGGAUGUUUUCAUUGAUCUUGAGCGAAAGUCAGAGGUUCGAAGACGAUCAGAUACCGUCCUAGUUCUGACCAUAAACGAUGCCAACUGACGAUCCGUGGUGGUUCUUUAUGUGUCCCCACGGGCAGUCCCCGGGAAACCCUUAAGUCU
rnacentral:rRNA from 1 species